GGGAUAGACCAUGAUGAAAAAUAAUAGAAAAAGAAUGUAUAUAUAUAUGUUUGACUGGGUUACUGUGCUGUAUAGCAGAAAUUGACUCAACACUGUAAAUCAACUUACCAUAAUAAAAACUAAAUUUGAUUUAAAAAAAUGAAGGGAAGGAUCUCUAAGCUUGCCUAGAUUUAAACUAGACAGAUAAGGGAGUUCCCUGGUGGUCUAGUGGUUAGGACUCAGCAUUUUCACCCCUGCACCUGGGUUCGACCCCUGGGAACUGAGAUCCCACAUCAAGCUGCUGCACACCACAGCCAAAAAAAAGAAUAACUGGACAAUUGGAGUUGACUCCAGGAGGAAUUAAAAUAAGCUAAAUGUGGGAGUUCCCGCACGUUCUGCUGUGGCUCAGUGGUAACGAACCCGACUAGUAUCCAUGAGGAUGUGAGUUGCAUCCCGGCCUCCCUCAAUGGGUUAAGGAUCCGGUGUUGCUGUGAGCUGUAGUGUAGGUACAGAUGUGGCUUGAAUCUGGCGAUGCUGUGGCUGUGGCGAAGCUGGCAGCUGCAGCUUUGAUUCCACCCUUAGCCUGGGACCUGGGACCUUUCACAUGCAGCAGACAAAAAUAAAAUAAGCUAAGUGUGGACUGCCACGUGAACACUGUCAUGGAGGAAAUGCAAAGAGAACGGGGACUUGGGAAGACGGAGGUAGGAAGUCUGGGACACCAUCAAGGACAAGCUAGAUGAACAUGGACCCUUGACCUCUUCCAGGGGAGUGAGACUGCAGGGCUGCCCCUUGGACGUUGGCGUGUUAAGUUUAAAUGAAUAGAGGCCAUGCUCUUUGACAAGUAGUACAUUUUGAGUUAUCUGUUAUCCCCGGUGUAAGUAACCCACACCCUUACAUAACGUGUUAGGUCCAGGGGAAAUUCCUGUCCUCUGGAAGGUUAACAGUGGAGGAUCACGCCUUUUUUUUUUUUUUUUUUUUUUUGGCUUUUUGCCUUUUCUAGGGCCGCUCCCUCGGCAUUUGGAGGUUCCCAGGCUAGGGGUCUCAUCGGAGCUGUAACCGCCGGACUACACCACAGCCACAGCAAUGCCAGAUCCAAGCCACAUCUGCAGCCUACACCACAGCUCACGGCAAAGCUAGAUCCAAGCCACAUCUGCAACCUACGCCACAGCUCAUGGCAAUGUCGGAUCCUUAACCCACUGAGCAAGGUCAGGGAUCGAACCCGCAGCCUCAUGGUCCCUAGUCGGAUUCGUUAACCACUGAGCCACGACAGGAACUCCGAGAUUCAUAUCUUCUAAGGCAACCAGUUCACUCUGGUCCUGAAGGCAGAAGCGAAGUCUCCUCAGUGGACAGUGGCUCUGUCUCGGGUAGCAGGUCAGUGAUGAUGAUGGGGUGGGGCCCACGACAUCCAGGCUCCAGGUUUGGAAGAGGCGUGGUGAGUCAUCACUGUCCUGGGAGAUUUCAACACAGGCUGUGAAGACGAGCAUUUAUUCCACCAAAAGUCCACCCAGAGCCCGAGGACCUUUGAGACAGCUGCCUCCUUGUGAGUUCUGGCUCCUGUGUGUUAUCUUAGGAGGCAAGGUGGUGGGUUAUUAAUAGACAUUUGGUAACUGUUUUAAACACUGUGUUAAAAGCCUGAAAGAACCAUCAUAUUUAACACAUUUCAGAGGUGAAUACUUUUACAGACAGCUUUCGCUUUGAUUUUUAUAAACCCUAAAUUAAAAAAAAUUUUAUUUAAAAUCUUUUGCUGUUGUUGGAAUGUAAGUUGAUUUCCUGUGUUGUUGUGUUAGUUUCAAGUGUACAGCCAAGUGAUUCAGUUAUACAUAUACAUAUAUCCAUUCUUUUUUAGAUUCUUUUCUCAUAGGAAUUAUUACAGAGUAUUGAGUAGUGUUCCCUGUGCUGUAUAGGGUCCUUGGUGGUUAUCUAUUUUGUGUACAGUGGUGUGUUUCUCCUAAUCCCAAACUCUCAAUUCAUCCCUCCUCACCAUGUUUCCCUUUCGGUGACCGUGAGUUUGAUUUUGAAGUCUGUGAGUCUGUUUCUGUCUUGUAAACAAAUCCAUUCCUGCCUAUAGAUUCCACAUAGAAGUGAUCACAUAUGAUUUUUGUCUUUGUCUGACUUACUUGGCAUGACCGUCUCUAGGUCCAUCCAUCUGCUGCUGUAAGUCCCAGGUUUAUCUAUCAAGAUAGUUUGAAGCUGAGUAGAAAUGCCAUUUCUUUAUUCAGCAGCCCUGUGACACCAGUAAUGUCUUCACUCCACUUCUCAAUUUAGAGCUUUGGAGAUAUUUUCUUCCUUCCUUUCUAUUUCUUUCUUUCUUUCUGUCUGUCUGUCUGUCUGUCUUUCUAUCUUUCUGUCUCUCUCUCUCUUUCUUUAGCUUUUUAGGGCUGCACCUGCGGGGCAUAUGAAAAUUCCCAGACUAGGGGUUGAAUUGGAGCUGCAGCUGCUAGCCUGUGUCACAGCCACAGCAACUCGGGAUCCGAGCCGCAUCUGUGACCUACACCACAGUUUGUGGCAGUGGCAGAUCCUAAACUCACUGAGUGAGUCCAGGGAUCACACCUGCAUCCUCUUGGAUACUAGUUGGGUUCAUUAUCCCUGAGCCACAAUGGGAACUCUGUUUGGAAAUAUUUUCAGUGUAAAGUGUGAGUCUGAGGAACAGAGGGAGAGGAUAGCAAUACUGAGAGGUAAUGAGAGCAUCAUUGCUCUGUUUCCAAGGGCCUGGCCUGAGCCACCGCCGGCCCCCCAGGUAAAGGACACUGGAGAGGACACUCUGGUCAUGGAGAGCCCUCUUCAGCCGUGGGGCCCUCUGCUGUUACUUGGAAAAGUCUCUGCCACUAGGAGAGAGUCCUCUUUAGUCACAUAUAGAAAGUGACCUUUGUCUGUUGUCUUAAAAUUUCCAGGAUCGAACCCACAUCCUUAUGGAUACUAGUCGGCUUUGUAACCUGCUGAGCCACAAUGGAAACUCCCUGAUUUCUCAUUCUUAAUUUAUUUUUUGUUAUUUUUCUUUUACUUAUAAUAAGGCUUAUUGUGUUUUGGUCUUUCCCUGGGGAUUCUUUUUACUGUUUUCCCAUUCCUGUUGCUCUAGUUCUCUUCAGUUGCUCCAGCUGCUUAGAGCUGGAUUGGGUUGUGGAGGUCCAGGGCCAGGCCGGUGACCAUCAGGGUCCCUUGGGUCCUGCCCACCGUUCCCUUCCUACCUGCCCAGCUCCCCACGAGCGUCAAGCAAGGCUUUUCUCCUGGUGCCCGAGUGUUGGCAGGUAAGGGAAAGAACCGGGGUGGGGGUGGUUGGUGGCUGGCCUCGGGGGCCCCUGGUCCUUCCUACCAGAGUGAGUAACAGGUUCCAUCCGUGGUUAGGCACCCUGGGCUUUGAACCAGGUGUCUGACACUCACCUCUGAGGUUCAUUAUGCUCCGUGUUUGACAGUCAAGGCGGCUGAGGUAGCUUGUAAGUGGAUGUUCUGGGAUUCCGGCCCGGUCUGUCUGCAUUGUUUCCAUCACAGCACAUCCUUUUUGUCCAAGUGAAGUUGGUGCUUGAGUGUUUUCUACACUUUUUAUUUAUUUUUUUAUUAUUUUUUUCUUUUUUGGCCGUCCCAUGGCAUAUGGAGUUCCUGGGCCAGGGAUCCGAUCAGAGCCACAGGUGCAACCCAUGCUCAGGUGCAGCAUUGCCAGAUCCUUAACCCAUUGUGCUGGGCCAGGCAUCAAACCUGCGUCCCAGCAGUCCCAAGAUGCCACUGAUUCUGCGGUGCCACAGCGGGAACUCCUCUACGCCUUUUAUUAUCUUCAUUUGGGUGUUAGCUCCUUCAUGUUCUGAUUAGAGGGCAUCUUAGCUUGUAUCUUACUGCUGUUGGAUCAUGCGCCCUGAAGUUGUUCUCAUUAAUAAUCUCACUACACUCUUUUCCUUGCAUGUUCUAUUAGGGUCAGAACCUGGUGAAUCCUGUUUCCUGUUCCUGCCACUGUGAGAGCAGGUCUAAAGUAAUAUCAUGUGUUGUCCUGAUCAUCUAAUAACAUCAAAAUCAAGGUUAUUAGCGCAGGGAACUAUAUCUAGUCACUUAUGAUGGAGCAUGAUGGAGGAUAAUGAGAGAAAAAGAAUGUAUACAUGUGUGUGACUGGGUCAGUUGCUCUAUAGUAGAAAUUGACAGAACACUGUAAACCAACUAUAAGGGAAAAAAUAAAAAUCAUUUAAAAAUAAGGUUAUUGAUUAUUUUCCUUUUGGUGAGUUGAACUUUGAUGCUCAAAGGAUUUUUCCAUGGGUCCUUUCCUUUUAUCAGUACUGUUUUUUUUUUUUUUUUUUUUGAGUGUUCUGCUGAUGUUUACAACAGAAUAUUAUAGCUGAGUGCAGGUUGGGAUCAGACUUGAUAAAUUUAGGGUAUGUCUCAGUUUCAAAAAAUACUGACAAUGACUUUUAGUCUACAGUGAAAGUUUUAGAUUAGAUGCCUAGGGUACUUUUUGGUUCUGUAAUUCUGGUUUCCAAAAUUUUGGUUUUCUAAGAAUCAAUAUUUCCUUUCUUACUGUCUUUUUUGAGGGGUCGAGAGAUGUCUUUAAAGUUUAUUUUUUUUGCAGGUAGGAAGUUGAUAUGUAUUAAUUGUGCAAAAAGUGGAAAAUAGAGAGAUAUAUAAAGGAUAAAAUAUUAACCUCCUCUAAUCUUACUUUUUAGUGAGAACCACUAUUAACCACUUUGGGAUUUUUUUUUUUUCUCUAUGUGUGUGUGUGUGUGUGUGUGUGUGUGUGUGUGUGUAUCUUAUCAGACCUGAGGUCACAACACAUACAUAAUUUUGUUUUUUAUUUUCUCUUUUUCCUCUUUUGGACUGCAUCAGAAGCAUAUGGAAAUUCCCAGGCUAGGGAUUGCAUUGGAGCUACAGCUGUUGGCCUAUGCCACAGCCACAGCAACUUGGGAUCCGAGCCGCGUCUGUGACCUGUACCAUAGCUCACGGCAACACCAUAUCCUUAACCCACUGAACAAGGCCAAGGAUCAAACCUGCAUCCUCAUGGAUACUAGUUGGGUUCAUUUUUGCUGAGCCACGGUGGGAACUCCCACAACUUUGUACUCUCCUUUCUCAUUUAACGAUGGUAAUGCAUUCUGCAACAUUAAAAACUCCUCAGGAGCACAGUUUUAAUGGCAAUAUAAUGUUUCAUAGUAUGUAUAUGUCAUAACUUACUCCCCAGUGUUAGGCAGCUGUUUCCAAUUUUAUGAAUAAUGCUCCCGUGUACGCCUCAGUGCAUCCACUUUGUCCAGAAUUAUGGUUGUUUCAUUUAGAUUGAUGUUUAAAAGUGAAAUUAACAGGUCAAAAAGUAGGACCACUUUAAAAGUACUUGAUACUCAAUGCUUGACAGAGUGAGUUUCCAUCCGAGCCAGCAGUGGGUGGCAGCCUGGGACUCAUAAACCCCAACAGGACUUGUGUGCUGGCCUGGUUCAUCUGAGGAGCAAAAAACCAGUGGUGUUUUGGUUUAUAUUUCUUUGAUUACCAAUUGAAGUUAAACAUUUUUUAUCUGUACAUUAACUUUUCUAUUCUUUAAAAAACACUCUUUUUAAACUCUUGAAGUCUAGUGUAUUCCUAACAACUUAGAAGGGAUCUUUGUAUAUUAAGGCUAUCAACCCUUUCUCCAUUAUAUUUGUUGAAAAUGUUUUCCUAAUUAGUUGUUGACUUUUCAUUUCUCGAUGUUUAGAUCCAUUUAAUUAAUUUUUAUUUAUAAUUUUAAUUUACUAUAUACUUUAUAAUAUACUGUAGAAUAAUUUAUCAUGUAAAAAUAAAUUUAGUAAUUUCAUUUACUAAUGUUAAUUUUUAAGUAGUCAAUUAUAUCUUUUAUGGGAGUUGCUGCUGUGGCUCAGUUGGGUUAAGAACCCAACUAGUAUCCACUAAGAUGCAGGUUUGAUCCUGGCCCUUGCUCAGUGGGUUAAGGAUUCAGCAUUGCUGUGAGCUGUGAUGUAGGUCACAGAUGCUUCUCAGAUCUUGCAUUGCUAUGGCUGUGGCAUAGUUCGGCAACUGCAGCUCCAAUUUGACCCCUAGCUUGGGAACUUCUGUAUGCUGCAUUGCAACCUUAAAAAGAAAAAAAA
rnacentral:lncRNA from 9 species